GUGAGGAAUCUUCCACAAUGGGCGAAAGCCUGAUGGAGCAACGCCGCGUGAAGGAUGAAGAUCUUCGGAUUGUAAACUUCUUUUAUGAGUGAAGAAUAUGACGGUAACUCAUGAAUAAGCACCGGCUAACUACGUGCCAGCAGCCGCGGUCAUACGUAGGGUGCAAGCAUUAUCCGGAGUGACUGGGCGUAAAGGGUUGCGUAGGCGGUUAUGUAAGCGAAUAGUGAAACCUGGUGGCUCAACCACACAGACUAUUAUUCGAACUGCAUAACUCGAGAAUGGUAGAGGUAACUGGAAUUUCUUGUGUAGGAGUGAAAUCCGUAGAUAUAAGAAGGAACACCAAUGGCGUAGGCAGGUUACUGGGCCAUUUCUGACGCUAAGGCACGAAAGCGUGGGGAGCGAACCGGAUUAGAAACCCCAGUAGUCC
rnacentral:rRNA from 1 species